AACGAGCGCUGGCGGCAGGCUUAACACAUGCAAGUCGAACGCCCCGCAAGGGGAGUGGCAGACGGGUGAGUAACGCGUGGGAACAUUCCCUUUUCUACGGAAUAGCUCUGGGAAACUGGAAUUAAUACCGUAUACGCCCUACGGGGGAAAGAUUUAUCGGGGAAGGAUUGGCCCGCGUUGGAUUAGCUAGUUGGUGGGGUAAAGGCCUACCAAGGCGACGAUCCAUAGCUGGUCUGAGAGGAUGAUCAGCCACAUUGGGACUGAGACACGGCCCAAACUCCUACGGGAGGCAGCAGUGGGGAAUAUUGGACAAUGGGCGCAAGCCUGAUCCAGCCAUGCCGCGUGAGUGAUGAAGGCCUUAGGGUUGUAAAGCUCUUUCACCGAUGAAGAUAAUGACGGUAGUCGGAGAAGAAGCCCCGGCUAACUUCGUG
rnacentral:rRNA from 1 species